rnacentral:rRNA from 1 species
CAGUCGCCGCGGUAAUACGUAGGUCCCGAGCGUCGUCCGGAUUUAUUGGGCGUAAAGGGCUCGCAGGCGGUUUCUUAAGUCUGAUGUGAAAGCCCCCGGCUCAACCGGGGAGGGUCAUUGGAAACUGGGAAACUUGAGUGCAGAAGAGGAGAGUGGAAUUCCACGUGUAGCGGUGAAAUGCGUAGAGAUGUGGAGGAACACCAGUGGCGAAGGCGACUCUCUGGUCUGUAACUGACGCUGAGGAGCGAAAGCGUGGGGAGCGAACAGGAUUAGAUACCCCAGUAGUCCCUGUCUCUUAUAC